CCUACGGGUGGCUGCAGUGGGGAAUAUUGGACAAUGGGCGAAAGCCUGAUCCAGCCAUGCCGCGUGUGUGAAGAAGGCCUUCGGGUUGUAAAGCACUUUAAGCGAGGAGGAAUGGCUCUGGGUUAAUACCCUUGAGCAGUGACGUUACUCGCAGAAUAAGCACCGGCUAACUCUGUGCCAGCAGCCGCGGUAAUACAGAGGGUGCAAGCGUUAAUCGGAAUUACUGGGCGUAAAGCGCGCGUAGGCGGUUGCGUAAGUUGGAUGUGAAAUCCCCG
rnacentral:rRNA from 1 species